rnacentral:lncRNA from 1 species
UAAUCAUAUCCAACCCUUGGACAUCUUUAGAAGAGAGGAAGAGGCUAAAAUCAGAUUAAAUUUGAUUUUGAUGUCCAACUCUUGGACAAGAGGAGAGAGGGAAUAUUUGUGUCCAUCUCAUGGACCAAGAGAGAAAGAAAAAUCAAAUCAAAUCUGAUUUCUAUAUCCAACUUUUGGACCUCUAUGUAAGAGAGGAAGAAGGAGUGUCCAACUCUUGGACAAAGGAGAGAG